rnacentral:rRNA from 1 species
CGACGUAGGGGGCGAGCGUUGUCCGGAAUUACUGGGCGUAAAGAGCACGUAGGCGGAUAUUUAAGUCAGUUGUGAAAGGCCGCAGCUUAACUGCGGGGUUGCAAAUGAAACUGGGUAUCUUGAGGGCAGGAGAGGUCAGUGGAAUUCCUGGUGUAGCGGUGAAAUGCGUAGAAAUCAGGAGGAACACCAGUGGCGAAGGCGGCUGACUGGACUGACCCUGACGCUGAGGUGCGAAAGCGUGGGUAGCAAACAGGAUUAGAUACCCUGGUAGUCCACGCUGUAAACGAUGGAUACUAGGUGUGGGAGGUAUCGACCCCUUCCGUGCCGGAGCUAACGCAAUAAGUAUCCCGCCUGGGGAGUACGGUCGCAAGGCUGAA